rnacentral:lncRNA from 13 species
AGCCUGAAAUGUCCACAGGACAGGCAGCUGAUAGGAAAGCCAAAAGUGAUGUAGGAAAAGCAAGGACAAAGGCAGAAUCUCUGAGAAUGAAUUGGAGCCAACACUGGUCUCUCACCACCUCCAGUCCUCUGGCUUUGAUAAGGUGGGGGUGGCCUGCUGGAGAAACUGAUGUUCUUCAUCUCAGAGAUUAUAAUAGCAAAGACCUGGAACCAACCCAAAUACCCAUCAAUGAUAGACUGGAAAAUGAAAAUGUGGCACAUAUACAACAUGGAAUACUAUGCAGCCAUAAAAAAUGGAUUACUAAUUAUUUUCUGAAGACAUGAAGAAUUAUUGUAAAUGAAGCAUUACUGUGUGGCUUUUGAUACAUGGACUUGUUUGUACCAACAAAGAAGAAUAUCAUACCAUCUGAUGAAUUGUGGAUCAUUUAGUCUAUGCUUUCGCUUUCAAACAAAAGUCUAUGUAAACUUGAC